rnacentral:lncRNA from 1 species
AAAAGGGGACCGACCGUCCCUAGAGCAAGUGGCAAAGGGCUUGGUGGUUGGUAUCCGAGACCGAAGUUCGAAUCCUAGUUGAUUCACAUUUCCAGCUAAGUUUAUUUCUAAAUGAAAUAAACGAAGCGGGUAGCGUGCUACCUAUCUCUCUAAAAAAAAAAAAAAAAAAAAGGGGAUAAAUUUCAAAUACCACCCUGUGGUUUCGCACUUUAUCACUUUAGUAUCAUGUGGUUUAAAGUGUAUCAAGUUAGUGUUAUGUGGUUUCAUUUUUAUCUUUUCGUCAGCUUUUUCGUUAAUAUUUCGUUAAGUUAUAUACAAAAAACUUCAGAUACCCCACCUAGGUUUAUUGAAUAUUCACUUGAAUACCCUUUAGUUUUAACUUUGUCACUGAUUUAAUGAAGAAAACUAGUGGAAUCGAUAAUAAAAAGAUAAAAAUAAAACCACAGGACACUAAAUUGAUACACUUUAAACCACAGAGUAUUAAAGUGAGAAAGUGUGAAACCAUAGAAGUGGUAUUUGAAGUUUUUCCAAAAAAAAAAAAAAAAAAAAAAAAACUUUUCCAGCAAGAUGGAUUCUUCAUGGGGAUCCAAACAUAUCUCCUAAUUUCUGAUGGAAUUUUCUGAAGUCCAUGGAAAGUGUAAAUUAGAUUCGAUGAAAUGGUUGAAAUUUUUUAAGUAUGAUAAUUAAUGGUCAGUAUAUUGUUCUUCUUAGAUUCUAUGGAAAGGUUGUGAUGGUCUCAGAGGGCCAAUACUCUCUGGAACUGGGUUUUACAUCAGGAGGGAUGCUUUAUAUGGAGCCAAACCAACUCACACAUCAACAAAAGAAGGUAACUUAGAUUCUAUAUUAAGGCUCCUCGCACUUUAGCUCGUCUCAGUUACCUCGCUGCGUUAAAAAUUGCAUUAAUUUACCGACCGUCUCUAGCGCGAGUAGCAAAGGUCUUGGUGGUUGGUACCUGAGGUCUCCAGUAGUUGAUUCAUAUUUCCAGCUAAGUUUAUUUCAAAAUGAAAUAAACGAAGCAGAUAGCAUGCUGCCUAUCUCUCAAAAAAAAAAAAGCAUUAAUUUUCCCCUCCUAGACUUUGCCAUAUCCCAAAUAGCUUUAGCCAUUGGCAAAAAUAAGUUUUUAGAUAACAAGUAAUGCAAUAGAAUCAUAUGAAUUGAUAUACAAUAGCUCAGUAAGUUAUCACUUUUAAUAGUAUUAGCAGAAUAGGAGAUCUCUUUUAUCUGAACUUUUUUUUUCUUUUUUUUUUUUUGAGUUGCAAAUUAGACAGGCGUUGAUAUAUAUGGAACAAUACGAUAUGCAAACUCAUUUUAGCGUAGUUUUACAAUCUGGAUCUAUUUGAAUAGCGGCAAAGUACAUACUGACAACUGACGUAAUUUUUAAUACAGAAGUGUGAUUGAGAGCGCGACGUACUAUUUUACCCAAGUUUAUUCUUAUGUAGCUCUAAUUAGAUAAUGAUGUAUCAUAUCAUCUGCAAUUAUUAUUUGUACUAAAGUUUGGUUUGCAUAUAUUGGUAGAGUUCAAAUCUAUGGAGAUCUCAGAAUUGAAACAAAGGUUUGGCACCUCAAAUGAGUUCACAGCUUCAUUGAGGGAGAAAAGCAAAAGUGAGCUCAGUAAAAGGAGUGGAGCAUCACACACUGUUCCACAAGAGGCAAUGCGUUUGGCUUCAUGUGCAUAUGAGAGUGAUACUCAAUGGGGUGAACAGGUAAAGUUUCAAACAAUGUGAACCCAAACACAAACACAUCUACAUGAUUUUGGCUCGAACAGAGCAGAAAUUUUACUAAAGUGCUAUUUGAGAAGAGAUGUUUGAAAAGGCAUUAAAAUUUUUGUUACUGUAAUGUCUCUAAUAGUUUCUAGCUGCGACAGAUAUAGAAGAUCAAAUUAGAUCCUUUGAUUUUGGAGUGCCAGCUUUCGGGGGCUGAAAAGCUCAUCUUAACUUCCUAUCGUACAAAAAAAAGCUCCAAAAUUUCGUAGUUGCCAAAAGCUUGACUAGCGGUGGCUUCAACCAAAAGCAAAAGUACAUCAAACAAAAGUUUUGUAGAAAGCAUAUCUUAUGCUUAUAGUGUGGGAUGCGUCUUGCAUAGCGCCACGUGGCUGAUCAGAGACAUGCACGUAAAUAAGUAAGGUUUUCACAUUUUUCUUCGUUAAAUGUUGUAGCAAUCCCUACCGCCCGAAAGAUAUUCAUAGGAGGGGUGAAAUAAGCUCUUCAGACAUGGCUGUAGCUGAAAGUAAAAGCAAAAGCCAGGGCGACCAGUCUACUGACUCUUCGUUUCUCUCUCUUCAGGUAGGGUUCUUGUACGGCUCCCUCGUCGAGGACUACUUCACAGGCUUCCACCUCCACUGUCGCGGCUGGACCUCCGCAUACUGCGAUCCGCCACUGAGGCCGGCGUUCUUGGGUAACGCGCCGACCAACUUCCACGACACGCUCGUGCAGCACAAGCGGUGGAUGACCGGCCUACUCGAAGUCGGUGUCUCGAAGUAUUGCCCCCUUAUUUUCGGAAUGCGAAUAAGCUCUUGGCGGUCGACACUUCAAAGCAUGUGCUAUGCUUGGCUUGCGUUUGAUGCACUAUAUGCUUUCCCUUUAUUGGUAUAUGGCAUUGUUCCACAGCUGUGCUUCUCCAAAGGGGUCGCCGUGUUCCCCGCGGUACGUGUGAGGACGUUUUACUUGUGUUUGAUUUCACGUAAAACUAUCGAAAACUUCUUUCGGACGUAAAACUAUCCACUUACAGGCCUCGAGCUCGCAGUUCCCCAUCUUCGCGAUAGUUUACGCAUCAGCGAUGCUUCAACAUCUAGCGGAAGUGAUCGUCUCCCGAAGAACCCUCGCGACGUGGUGGAAUGAGCAGAGAUUCUGGAUGCUGAUUGCAGUCACGAGCUAUCUCUUCGCCUGCGUGGACGUUUUCGCGAAGCUGAUCGGCGCGAGGGCCAUCGACUUCGACGUCACCAACAAGGCGGUUGACGAGUCCCAGAUCAAGAUGUUCGAUGACGGUGUGUUCGACUUCAGAGGGGCGUCGGUGAUCCUCCUCCCUGCGACGACGCUCAGCUUGCUCAACGCGGGGGCGCUAGUGCGCGGAGGAUGGAGAAUGGUUGCAGAGAGCAAGUUCGACGAGCUGUUCGGGCAGCUCUUCCUCAUGUGCUUCGUUUUCGCAAUCAGCUACCCGUUGCUAGAAGGGAUCUUCGUCCGGAGAGAUGCCGGACGAGUCCCGACGCGCAUCACGAUGUGGUCGAUCGCGCUGAGUGCCGCACUGCUGUAUUUGCUUGGUUGAGGGGAGCAUUUUGAUCAGAUUAAAUUCAUAAAAAUUUGGUUUUUACAAAAAAGUAAUCUUCUGUUCUUGAAGUAAUGUAACGUAUAUGGGUUUUUCGUAGCCCCCACAAAACUUCUUUUUUACGGCCCCAGCAAAUUUAUAUUUGCAGAAUUGCCCUUCUCUUUACCAUGCGAGCAUCAUGUUGGACAGAAAAGAGCCAUGUUCAGAUAAACAAGAUGAUCCAAUCACCGUAUUUAAGCAUCAUGUUGGACAGGAAAGAGUCAUAUUAAGUUGAACACGAUGAUCCAGCCACUUUGUUUAAAUACAAUGAUUAGGUUAAUGUGUUCAUAUCCACACGCAAGUCCGUACAACAAUAAUCCAAUCAGUAUUUAAACGAUGUGACUUGAUUACCGUGCUCAACUUAAAAACACCCACAAUAGUCCACUCCUAUCCAACGUGGCGCUCCCGUCGUAGGGAGAUGAUCAUUUCUGCAAAUAUAAAUUUGUUGGGACCAAUGGACCAUUUGUCAAAAAAAAAAGUUUUGAGAGGACUAAAUGCAAAAAAAGCCCUAAAGCUAUACGACAAAGACCCCCUAAACUUUAGCAAUUUUGUAAACAGACAUCCGAACUUCUAAUUUUGGCAAUUAGACCCACUAAAUUUUAAUUUUGCAAAAAGUUCUUUCGAGUUUUGAGCACAUGUACAGGGGUAGGAGGUUCAGCUCAGGGUUUUGAGAUAAUCCAAGGACAAUUCUUCGCAUUUAAACAUCAACUCAUUCUCAAACCUUUGGAGCACGAACCGCUCCGCCGGAGCAAUGAGAGUCGUGACGCUGUACGCUUCCUUGGAGAAUGGCACUCGCCCCGUCCGUCCGGCGCGGUGGAGGUAGCCGACGGCACUUUUGGGGAGAUCGAAGUUGUAUAUGUGAGUGGUUUGCGGUAGGUCAAACCCUCGGCUUGCUAUGUCUGUCGAAACUAGUAAGCAACCUUGUUGUUGCCUCAUUUCCUAAAGAAGAACAAUAAGUACUCGGAUAGUAGAAUCAAAUUCAUAUAUGAUCAUAUGACAUGGUACGUAAUCGCAGAACUGCGGUGUAGAACUAAUUGUGAAUGAUUGUUGGGGUAUAAAAGAAAAGGAAAAAUUUUCAAAUCACUUCUAAACAUCCAAGGUUCCAGCUCUCUAGUUUGGUUUCGGUAUCAGUGUAGGUUUCCAGAAUCUGGGCUUUCUAGUUUCAGCGUUCUUGGUAGUUUCUGCUUCCGGUUUCUAAUGCUGGAAUGAAAGUUCCGAAGUAUAUGCGACAUGAGAACUUAAACCAAAAAUAAUCUAUGAAAACUUUUCGUUGCGAGCGCAAUAAUAAUAUGUAAUUGGAGUAGCAAUUAAGAACACUUACAGAGAAUGAGGUAGCCCGAGCAUUGAAAUUCAUAUCUUCUUCAAGGAGAAGGACCUCCAGGGGUCCGCUGUAUGAAGCUUUAAGGAAUUCGAUAACAAGGGUUGUCGACGGAAGCUCUCCGGCUCUUUUCGAUUUCUCUGACUAGCAAGAAUUAAUAUACUGUAAAGUCAAACAAGAGAACACGGAAGCUACAGAUCAUUUAUGGUGAAAAAACUAGUUUAUUCAUCAUUUACGAAGGGGAUAAAGUAUGCCAGUAGUCCCAAAAUACUCGAGUUGCUAUUAUUCCCAAUUUGUCUCAAUGAUGCCUCAAAUUCUAUGCCGAGAUUUGAUUCCAAUAGUAGUUUGAGCUAUUGAAUAUAUGAUCAGGGGCCGAAUGCAACUCGACGAACUCGAAUCGCCUAACAAAGGAAUUAAUUCAAGUCCUGAGUACUAGAUGAACUUGAAAAUAUCCAUGAUAAUCGCCAUUUGACAAGAAAUUUUCACUCCGAGCUACAUUAUAAUCCAUCUCGCACCAUGAAAACAUUCAGGAGAAUAUCCUAUCAGGCCGCCUAAUUGAUAGAUGCAGAUUUCUUUGAUAAUGGGAGUUAAAAGAGUUUUUGUUCAUGACAAUCAGUGUGGAAUUCAAGUAAGAUGCCGCAUCAUUUCCUUCAUAAGACUAGCACUGCCCAAUUUUGAGCCCACUGCAUGCUUGACAGAAAACCAAAUUUAAGAUUACUUGAUUCAAUCUUCAAGCAUGCUGUCAAAAGUAAUUAUUUGUUGAAGAGUGGAAAGUAUGUUCAGAAAACUAAAAUAAAUAAAGGAGGAUACCCCAAGUUUACUAAUAUAACCCCAACUGGCCAUGCAACGACACAAGUUGACGUGAAUUUCUAAAUGUCACGACUUUUCAAUUCAAAGUUCAACAAUUCCGCAGUUCACAAUAUGCAGAAAAGAAUGUAUCACAGAAUUAAGUGAAGCAUGAAUCCAAAAAAUUACACGAAAAGCUAAUUGAUAAUAAGACAACAAGUUAAUGUACAUUAAGGGGUAUUAUUAUAUUUCAAUCAAAAGGGCAUAAAAAUAACAAAAAGUUAAGAGCCACAAACCUGAUCAGCAACAAAUAUUAUUCCAGAUUUAGGAGCAUCUCUCUCAAGCAAGCAGAGCAGAGUACGCAAUCUGUCCUUUUUACUGCAUAUCUGGAACGAUAAACAGAUCAACACAUCCAAAACCACAUCAAACCUUUCGAAUAAUGAAAGAAUGGUUUUAUGAAACUUUGUAUUCUAAAUGUAUUAGAAACAACUUUAUCAGAUGCUAAUGCGAUUCAAAACAAAAUGCGUGUUGAAAGAGAAAACAAAAGUAAAUAACCAGAGAGAUCAAUAUCGAUGGUUUCCCUUUAAAGUUUAAAGCAGGUGCUCACCACAUAUUUGUGAUGUAGGUGUGAAGGCAUAGGUUCAACAGGAUUGACAUGGACAUGAACCACAUCAUUCUGCAUCAAGAAGACAAUCAGCAUACAGAAAGACCAAGGUAUUUCUACCACUAACGUAUGUUAACAACGCAACAUAAUGAAGCCAUGGUGAAGUGAGAGUAGAAAUUGGAAAAACCUUCGUCCACUUCUGUUGCGCGCAGUCAUAUAGAAAAUGGUUGUGUUGGGGAAUUGAUGCGCUAGCAAAAACAGUUUGCCGACUUUCAAUUGUUGAAUAGGCAGUCAAGAGCUUGCGGAGAGAGUACCCUUGCUUCGAUGAACUGAAUAUAAAAUCCGCCUAUCAAGAGAAGAAGUCCUCGCAAAAUUAAUCUUUUGUGAGAAAAAAUUAGGUAUUGGGUAGGAAACACCAAGUAAAUGUACAGAUGACGCCCUCUCCCAGCAACUCUCAAUUAUAAUCAUUGCAUUGACUGCCAAUACUAAUAUUACUUCAACUUUCACUAAAAUAGCAUAUCACACAAACUGAUUGUCUCUAGCACUAAUUAGGAGGCUAACCGACACACGCUCAAAUCCCUUCUAAUCACAAUUACAUUUUAAAAGCUUGAUAAUGUGAUGUUAAUGUAUAUAUGGUAAUAGAAAUCACCUCAUCAAUAACCAAUACCCGCAUAGCUUCCAGCUUCAAAAGAUGUUUCUCAAGCAUUUGACACAAGCUCCCUAUAGUCGCUACAACUAUCUCAGGGGGCUCUGCCUGAAAAGAAAUUAACAAUAUACAAUAUUAGUACAGAUAUGAACCUUCCACAUGGAAUAAAGAUAACUUUUAUGAGCAUGCGAGUUACAACAUUAGUUAAAAACUAUGAUGACGAUACAAAUUUACAUGUAUGGGGAAAAAAAAAGAGCAUUAUCAGUAUUAAGUGAAGUGGAAAAUCGCAGUAGCAUUUUUUUACCACAUAUCAAAUAAUUCACCAUCCGAAGUUUGAUAAAGUUCAUGCAAAUCGGGUAACUAAUAUAGCCAGAGGCAAAAAGAUGCAAGGUUUCCUCUCUUACUCAACAAUACGCCAGCAGAAUAUUAUAAUGGAUAAAACACAGAAUAGUUAACAAUAAUAAAAAAGUAACAAAAGCAAUUACAAAGGAGAAAGGGAAGAACAGUGAUAGAAGACUAGAAUGAAGGGAAAAAAAGAUAGAAGGCAGGAAGAAAAGGGUCUAAUCCAUCUCUUACUCAUUUAAAUUUAAAAUUAUUAUUAUAGCCUAUAAUUGGAUAGUGAAUUGCUCAUCAGUCUUCUGUCAUACUAGGCCUGAAAAGUCCUCCGAGUAUCAUAGAAGAACAAACUAUAAUACCAAAAUAUAACAUCUUUAAUCUUCAGUUUGAUUACUUCUUCAAAAUUCUGUCCUUCAGAUUGAUUUUGGUAUGGGCAGAUCCUCGACUACUAACGAAAAGAUAAAGUGGUACAAUUAAAUCUCUUAUGGAGAUAAACAAUACCUUUAACCAGCUCUUUUGCCUCUUUAACAUUCCACCAUCUAGCAAAGCCAUAACAGUGCAAGCCCUCUGCAUCUCUUCCAUUCCUGCUGGCUUCGCGGCCAGCAUUCUAGCAACUUUCGCAACCUUAAAGGGGCAACAAGAAAUGAAAAGAUCAAAAUACAAAAGUUUUAUCAAGACAAUUGUAGUUACAACAUAAAUAGCAGUAAUCUGCAAGGCACAUACUUGCAUACCAAGCUCCCUAGUUGGGACAACUAUCAGUGCUUGUACAGCCGACCUUCUAAAGUCUAAAGCUGAAAAUAUUAGCAGUAAGUAUGCCAACGUUUUGCCUGAACCUGUCUAGAAACACAUUAUAGUGCAACAUCAGCAAAUUUUAAAAAUAGAGGGAUAAAAGCUAAAUCUAAAUUAUUAGAAUCUACGUGAUACAAAGCAUCAUAAAUGUCAUACGGGAAUGGAUCAGCUCAAACGGAAAUAUGUGAUAUGAGCAUCUCGCCAAACUUAGACGCUUAGAAAGAAAUAUCAAUUUCAGUCAGUGAUUCGGUUCUAUAUAUUUUGUCCUUGAUUUGGUUUCCUUUCUAAAUUUCAGACUUUUCUUAUUAUACCAAGUUUCUUCAACUAUACAUAGAAGCUCUUCUACAAGCAUGCUAAAAUAGAAUUAUUUGAUAGAGAUAGAAUAACGAACAAAAUAAAUAUCUUUGUACUUGGAGAAAGAGUAAAGUUUUCGAACUUUUGAAUGUGAUAUGUUAUAACUUUUGAAAUUUUCGGCAGUAAUCUGUAAAACGUUAAAGUUCAGGGGUCCGAGAUAUACGAAUACGAAUACGAAUACAAGGUACGUUGAAGCUGAGAAUCGCUCAUGAGUUGCAUGAACAUAAACAGCAACACAUACUGCUCAUGCAAGUCCUUCUGUUGCUGCAAAAAGGAUCUUUUCGCACUAAAUUGUUAAACAGGUAUGCCGACAAUAUAACUGGCCAUAAACAUGUGUUGAGCAUUCACAAGAGCCUUCUCGAACUUGACUAUCGCAAAAGCCAAUGCUUACAUGGAAAUCAAUGACCAGAUAUUGAAUGAAUAUACUUUCAGAUGCCAUAUAGAAUUAAGAUGUUAAUACAAGACAAUUGCUUGAAACAAAAUUUUUACCUGAGCAUGAAGUACACAGUCCCUUCCGGACAAUAGAAUUGGUAAGGCUUGUUCUUGAACGUCAGUAGGCAUGACAUAUCCAAUCUCUUCAGCCCUGGACAACAGAAAAUAAGUCGAAUAUUCUCAUGAUCAAAAGUUAAUAACAAGAAAACUACUUUCAAGGGUAAAGCUUACAGCAUGAAAGGCAAACAAAACUGAUGGCCUUUUAUACUUAAUAUACACCAUAACGUGCAUUUUGGCACGAUUAAUGCUAUACAAUCAUCAUUGCUAAAUAUUAUAAUCAUUUGAUCAUCGCCCGACAGUUCGGAGAGGUAGAUGCAGUUGGAUUUACAGUAGUUACAUUUGCAUCUAGUCUAAAGAGUGCCGCAACCAUAAUAUAUACAUUUAUUUAGAACUAGCCGUUGGAAGUUGCAUUUGUGAAUCUUGUUACUUCAUAUCUGGGAUGGUUAAAUUACCUCCAAAAAAGAGAAAUUUCUCCCUUUUUUUUUUCCUUUUUUCUUUCUUAUAUACAAGAGAUGAGUACCAGUUGUUCCAUUUCCACCUAAGUCCGAGUUCAACUUGGAUCAAAAUGCAGCAUUUGGGCCUUCAUUUGCAAUUUAAACCAUACUAUUUACGCGCAACAGCAACAUCAUCAUCAACAACAACAAUAACAAACAAACAAACAAAAUAAAAACUUUUGAGUUUGCAUGCAAUUGCAAAUUCGACUAAAACUGCAGAUAACUAAGCAGUUUCAAAAAACUAUAAGUUUGUUUGCUCCGUUUAUUCCAUUUAUCUGAUUCUUAAUUCAUCAUCCACACGUUCCCAAGCAUAAAACAAUAGGGGAAAUUAAGAGGAGGAGGGGGGAGGGGGUAGGGGGGGCACGGAGGAGAGGAACCUCUUUAGAACGUGAUCGGGAACGCGCCCAUCGCAGACCUCGCGGAGCGUCCGAGCUCGACACCGACCACCCUCUUCGUCGACGCGGACGCCGCGGGAAAUGGUGGAGAGGGCCCUUCUCCGGAGCCUAGGGUUUGGGCAAAGGGAGGAGGAGGAGGAGGAGAAGGGGGUGAGGAGGAGGACGUGGGUGGGAGGGGUUGCGGAGGAGGCCACGGCCAUGGCCAUCGCCAUGGACGAAGACGAAGAAGAAGCAAAGAGUGAUGCGAGUUCGAAUGGGUUAUGCGAAGCGAAGAAGAAGAUGAGAACUUUUGCGCGAGUGUCCCUGUAAAAUGAUUAAAUUGCGAAUUGUGUUUUAAAAAAGUUGUAGGUGCAAAUGUAUGGAGAUCCCUCAACUAUAGAUCGUACUGAAAUGAGCCCCUUAACUUUAAUUUUUUUAGUUAAUUUGUAACUUUUUUAUUUGAAAAAGAAUUUGAGUAGUUAAACAAGUCAAAAUUGUACUAAAUUUGAUAGUUCGAUUAGAUAUUCACUAAAUAUAGUUUAAACUAUUAAAUUUGGUGAAAUUAUCAAUCAAUUUGGUAGAAUGGUCAAUCUAUUUGACUUACUUCAAAAAGCAGCAUAGAGUUGAGGAUCAAUUUUUAAUUACUCUAAAGUUGAGGGAGUCUCCACACAUUUUUACCUCCACAAUAUUAUUACAUUUUUCGCUUCUCAAACCCUCGCGCCCUUUCCCCUUCGCCCUCUCUCUCUCUCUCUCUCUCUCUCUCUCUCUAAGGCCUCCUCAUCCAUUCCCAAACCCUAGGAAGAGUAGAGCUCAGCAAUGGCGUGGUGGUGCGAGGGAAUGGAGGAGCCCCGUCACCUAAUCGCCCCUCGUAACCCCUUUAAACCCUAAUCCUCUUCGAUGUUACUCUUUGCCACUGCUUUUUUACUUCUUUUUUUUUUUUUUUGAUUGGUUGAUUCAUCCCUUGUUGAAUGCCGCUUUGUUCCCCGUUGAUUCCUGAUGAUGGUGAUUUAUCACAAUUUUUUAUGAAAAUUAAAAAAAAAAGUGUAGGAUCAUUUGAUAUUUGGCGCUGCUUUUGCUUCCGCUUUCAGCUGCAGUCAUCUUUAGUAUAGCACUUGGCAAACAUCAAAAAUCUCCAGAUUCUGCUGCUGCAGGAAGAUUAAAAAUGGAAUCUUUUGAGUCCAAAGAUCACAACCUCUAAUUUGCUGCUUUUGCUUUUGCUGCAAAUAGAAUCUGUUUGAGGGAUUUUAGUAUAGCGCUUCUCUUGAUUAGCAGUACCAAAGAAGCAUUUUAUGAGACGAUUAUUAGGAAGAGAAAAGAAGAGAGUAAAAAGACGAGUUCUUUUCUUGUUUAAAUGUAGUUGGAAAGAAAAAAAAGGUAAAAUAAAAAGAGUUGAUUCUCUUCUGUUUGAUUGGGGAAAAGAGAAGGACAGUUAUUUAUUUUCUAGUCGUUUUGAUUUUUCGCUUUUUCUCAUGUGUUUAUUUUCAGAUAUAACUGUCCAAAUAAUCCGCAAAUUGAUGUUUUUACCCUUUUUUUGUUUUUCUACUGCAGUGUCUUGCACUUUGAAUUCAGAAGGAUUGAUAUUAUCCUUGAAACAUCCAAAAUCAGGUUUGAGAAAAAUUUAAUACCAUGCGUUCUAUAAGGAUUCGCAGGAGCUUCAAUAGACCUGAAGAUGCAUUUGUUAUAAGUGAUUCAAUGUAGGUAGAAAAGUGAUGCAUUGAUGAGGCUUUUUGGUUCAUAUGAAAUUUUAUUACUUUGACGUUUCUUGUUAAAAUGAUUUCUGCAAUCUCAAUUCAUUUGCUAUGGAAAGUAUACAACUGUCAGUUGAUGCUAAGCAAUUGUAAUUCCAUUACUAUAUCGAGCAGGAGAACCAACUAACUAUGUGUUCAUGGAUGGAAAUCUUCGAGAAGUCAAUUGGUUCAAGCAGUCCUACGGCUCUUGGUUCCUCGGAGACUACGUUUGUGAAGGUAUGCUUUAACUUGGUAAUUUCAUUUUUUUUUUCUGCACUUCUUUAGAAUGGUUCCGCCAUCAUCUGUAUACUGCUUAGAAAUGGUUUGUCGAGAGAGGGAUAUUACCAUUACAAGUAACAUCAGCAAGAAAAUUGAUAGAUACUGGUUUAGUAAAGUAGCUUUAUGCUACCUGUACUCUUAUUAGUGAAAAACUACUAGCAAAGCAAAUGUUGCAUGUUAUUAAGCAUAUUAUAAUAGGGCUGUAGAACACACACUUUUGAUAGCAAAAUUACCGAGCUGUAAAUAACCAUUCCUAGUAUAAUUGGAGACGUGCUUAUCUCCGCUGUUAUAUACUUAAUAGUUAGCAUACAAUGUAGUGUCUAUAUCAUGGGAAAAGUGUAACCUUUCAGAACUAAAAUGGUAGCUGAAAAUACUAUUCAAUUUGAGAAUCUUAGAGAUAUUAAUAUAUUGAAUACCCUUCCAUAUGUACUUUAGAUUAGAUUCUUUGAAGAAAAGAAAAUUAUUUCUUACGGUCGCUACCAGCUUAUUUUCAUUCUUUCUUACGACAGAUGGCAGCUUGUAUAUUUGUACACCUGUUGAUCCCGUUUUCAUUCUCUUACCAAUUUUUGAGGCUGCCCGAAUGUCGGUAUGUUUGUAUAAUCUUCGAUGCAUCUUCUUGCUUAUUGGUCUUAGUACACUUAAGAUUUAAUUUAGUUAUUUUUAAGCGACAAUUACAAGUACAACAACUAAGCCUUCUUUUCCUAUUAUUAUCGGGUUUGGCAUGUUAUCUUGUGAGAUUUAUUCUUCUAUCCCGUUUAUGGUAUGUUUUUCGUUUGUAGAGUAAGAGCUUCGAUGGAAUAAUUGAAAUGCUUUUCACCAUUCAUCCUUGCUAAAGGAAUGAUGUACAGUUUGUUAGCUGUAGUUUGAUAGUUACUUUCUUAAUUGUUAUAAUUGUCUUUUCCUUUUAAUUAUUGUUUCUCUAACUCUCUUCUCUUCUUAAUGCAGAAGGCUAAUAAUGGUGUGUUUAGGCAAUUAGAUGAAAUUUUAUAUGUUGAUGGCUACCCAGGAUAUCAGCAUCUCAUGUCCAUUGCGGGAGAUCAUAUGCAAAUGGUUUGUGAAGUGAAAGGUAGUUGUUUCGCUACCUACUUGGAUCAAUUGUUGCAUGGCAAAAUAAAUUUUGUGAAGAAAAAGUAUCGAAGUAAAUUGAAAAAUAAUCUACUAUCCAUGAUCAAUUAUAUUUACUUAUUUGUGUUUUUUUUCCUUUGGAAGUUAAAAGCAUUGUCACCAUACACUGAAUAGCACAAGUUUCGAGUGGGAAAAAGAAAGUUUUCUCUUAUAAUGAGUUUCAUAUUUAUUUGCAGAAAUUGGAUCUUCGAAGUUCUAUAGGCUGGAUGAUUCCAAAGUCAUAGCUUGGUUAUGCUGUAAGGUGCGCCUUGUGAUUACUCCCUUGUUGGAUGAUGGGUACAUCAACCUGUAGCGGAUUACUUUACUGCAUGCUGUGGUCAAACAAUCUCUAAUUCCUCUUUUAUAUGGUUAUGCUUAAGAUGUAUAAAAGUUCUAAUUUUAUAUAAGGAUUAUGUCUCAUGGAAAAUAAUUAUAAUAUCUUUCUCCAUCUCUGCAUUACACAAUAACCCACCUCCCGUUUACCUAUUUUACCUAAUAAAAUUUUGUUGCGCAUUUGCUUCUAUUUUCUUCCAUUAAAAACUUCAGCAGUUAAUUGUCUUUUAUAGUGUAUGUUUUCUUUUUGCAGGUACAACAGUUGAAAGAAACAAUUCCAAAAUUAGGAAAGAAUUUUGCAGCUCGAGAAGAACGAGACACAUGUAUGUAAUCAAAUCGCUCAUGCAAAUCCUGUCGGAUUAUUUUAGACAUGAAACACACAGCUGGGGCAUUAUUUUUUCAUAGUGUGUAUGGUAGUAUUUACUCUGUUACGGUGAUGAAGAAUUCUUUUUCCGUCUGAACUACAAAUUAAUAACAAGAUUCUGAUAUUCCUUUCUACAAGUACGGCACUGGAAUGAAACAUGUCCCGAGUGUGUUCAAAACUUCAUUGCCAAGAACAUGAGCAUCUAUGUCACAAAUGGUUUUGCCUCAUUAGGAUGAUGUUUGCCGCAUUGCGUGGGAGCUUUCUCUUCAUAAUUAUUUCCCAAUUAAGCUACUUAAUAAACAUGGUCUAUGUUCGCAGUGAAGGACAUUAUCUCAUUGUUGGGUGAGUACUUGAACGAUGAUCCUUGGUUGACGCCCCUUUGCCAGCACUUGCAGUAAGAUUUGUUUGUGCCCAUGAAAAAUUUGUUCUCGUCAAAGCUGCCCUUAGAUCAUUUGCUUUUAUAUGUUUAACUAGUUAUGUUUUUCAGCUUGGAUAUGCAAGAAUCUAAGAACAAUGCAUUAAAAUUUGAUGCUUCUCCAGUUUUUCUAGAUAAUACUGCAUCUGCUCGGCCCGUAGAGGUAUUCCUUGAGAACUCUUCAGUCGCUAAUAUUUUUGGUGCCUAUUUGGCAUAGCUUAUGGAAAACUUAUCCACUCCGAAAAGCAACAACUAGGCAGAAAAAAAAAAUAGGUACUUCUGCUUUGGCAGAAAGCUGAAAUGAGCUUCUGACGCAUUUUCAAUAGUCUGCACCUGCUGCAUGUGGAUGGCUGUUGAAAGGAUUUUUGUAAAAAAGCUCCAGUCUUGCCAAACAGGCCGUAAUUACUAGUUCUAUUUAUCAAUUCCUUAUUUAUCUGUCGAUGAAUGCGGUCGGUUCAAAAUACUUCUCGCAGGGCAAGUUGGGGAAGAGCAACAGCAUGUCAAGCAAAGGAAAACAACCCAAAAAGAUGAAGCUAGAAACCGACUCGAAGAACAUAAAAGACAUGUUCAGCAGGGCCACCAGAAGUCGAAACAAUCUCUGAUUCUGUUUGUAUUAUUAAUCAUUCCGAAAAAUAUGUGUCAUAAGAUUUUGCUACCAAUUGUGUGAUGUUAGAGUCUUGAAUCUAGCUCAGAAAGGGACACCACAUUUUUGUGAACAAAUUUUGCUGUAAUAUGCUGUUUCAUUAUUUUCCCAAACUUUAGCUUAUGAUUCCUAUGUUUCCCCAAACUUUAUAUCAAUGUCAAGGUCUCUGUCAUUGUUGCUCUUGUUUUCUAUGAUUCUUAUAAUAUCCCAGUUGAAUAUUUUCCCAAAAUUUAUCAAUGUAAUGCUCUUUAUCAUUAUUAUUGCCCAAUGGACAAACUAUACAUUUGGAUGGCAACUUGUUAUCAACCCUUCAGAAGUUAGCGCCUAAUUUUUUUAUUUUUUAUUUUUAUAUUUAGCUUUGGGUCAGGUCAAUGUCUUCAUCAUCUUUUUUUUCUUUUUUUUUUCUUUUUUUUUUUAUAUUCACAAUCUUUCAUUCUCAACCACUAAUCCAACUAAGAUAUUUUCUAUAGGGUAAAAUUCAAAUACCACUCCUGUAGUUUCGCGCUUUCUCACUCUAGUACCAUAUAGUUUAAAGUGUAAAUGAAACCACAGGGUAUUAAAUUGAUACACUUUAAAUCACAUGGUACUAAAAUAAAAAAGUGCGAAACCAUAAGGGUGGUAUUUGAAAUUUAUCCAUAUAUAUAUAUAUAUAUAUAUAUAACUAGGUUGGAAUACUAUCGAUAGCCUAAAUACUUGGUGCUAUUAGGUUUUUGGCAUAUAGAUGAAAAAAUAUACUGUUACAAUGAUGUAGGCCCUCUAGAGUUGAGUGAGUUAUUGGUUGAAUAGUACAAUCUAACGGGUAAAACUCGAUAACACCAAGCGCUUCGUGCUGUCGAUAGUAUCUCAGCCAAACUCUCUCUCUCUCUCUCUCUCUCUCUCUCUCUCUCUCUCUAUAUAUAUAUAUAUAUAUAUAUAUAUAUAUAAAAGGAAGGUUGCUAUUAAAAUAGCUUUAAGUUGAUGGUACCAAUACAAAGCAAAUGGUCAAAUGCAAUGAACCCACUCAUCAUUUGACUAUUCCUCUAAUAAUCACCUAAUGCCUAUCAAAACCUAGCCUCAGUGGAGUUAAAAAUAAAUAAAUAAAUAAAUAAUCUUGUGAAAAUGCUUAUCUUGAGGUGUUGAUUUUUGAAAAUGUCAAAGUUGGAAUUGGGGUGUUUUGGUAGCACCUAAGAAGAGAAUCACACAAAAUCAUAUCACUUUGAUUAGAUUAAUCAAAAUAUUCUAAAAGAAUAAAUUGGUUGAAAAACAUAUUCACUAGGAUAUAUAUUGGUAUAAUUAACAUGUGAUUUCUGAUAAGUGGUGUGAGCUUCAUAGAAAUUUUUUUUUUUUUUAAAAAAAAGUUUCUUGCACUUUUCAAUCCCAAAAAUAGAACAAAUUCACAAAAAAAUUCCGUUCGAAAUAAAAAAAUCAAUUAGUAAUAAAAGACACAUGAUAAGUACAUUAGUAGAUCAAAUUUUGAAAAGAUACAUAUUAAUUAGUGACCAAAUUUAAUAGAUCCGUAAGCAAUACCAUUCCAAAUAAAGUAUAAAAAUGAAUCUAAUCAGAUUCUGUCAAUUAAUAGCAUAAACUUAUAAUAAUGAAUAUUAAGUUAUAAAUUAAAUAACAUCAUUGUAUUAUUACUAUUAUUAUUAUUAUUUUUAACACAAGUAGAUGUGAAUUUUCAAAAGGAGAGACCAAUUCAAGAUCUUCAUUUCCCACCUUCUAGAAGUCAACACAAAGAAAGAAAUUAAUAUUAAAUAAUAAUUGUCAUUUAAGUUUUUAUUUACUAAUAUCUAAAAAAUAUUUUAAAUUCUAGCUGGUAUAGGAUUACAAUCCUAAAAUUAAGGGCUAAAUAAAUAGCUUAUAUCCUAUAAAUUAGAAGAUUGAGUACCAAACUUAAAAUUUUAAAAAGUUGAGGGUAGUGCUAUGCAUUUUUUACCUUCUCUUAAAUAAGGGGAAACUUCAAAUACCCCUAUUGUGGUUUCGCACUUUCUCAUUUUAUUACCCUGUGAUUUAAAGUGUAUUAAGUUAGUAUCCUAUGGUUUCGCACUUUCACAUUUUAGUACCUUAUGGUUUCAAGUGUAUCAAGUUAGUACCCUAUGAUUUUAUUUUUGUUUCAAGUUAGUACCAUAUGGUUUCAAUUUUCUUUUUCUAUUAUUUAUUUUGGGGUAUAUAAUUUAACGAGAUAUUAAACCAUAGGGUAUUAAAGUGAGAAAGUGCGAAACCACAUGGUACUAACUUGGUACAUUUGAAACCACAGGGUACUAAAGUGAGAAAGUGCGAAACCACGGGGUACUAAUUUGAUACACUUUAAACCACAGAGUACUAAAAUGAGAAAGUGCGAAACCACAUGGAGGGUAUUUGAAGUUUUUCCUAAAUAAUAGUGACCGAACUAAAAAUAUGCAAUAUGAAAGGGGGCUGAGUGAAAUUUUCCUCAUCUUCUCCAUUUAUAUAUAAGUGGCUCGGACUCUUCGUCCCCUUCCUCAGAGUGAGAGAGAGAAACCCUAAGAGAGAGAGAGAGAGAGAGAGAGAGAGAGAGGAGUUUAGGGCAUCAAUGGCGGAGGGGGAGGUGGGGACGGAGUUGGAGGAGGCGCAGUUCGCGGCGGGGUGCUUCUGGGGGGUGGAGCUCGCGUUCCAGAGGGUGGAGGGGGUGGUGAGAACGGAGGUGGGGUACUCGCAGGGCCACCUCCCCAAUCCCACCUAUGGCGACGUGUGCCGCGGCGACACCGGCCACGCCGAGGUCGUCCGCGUCGUCUACGACCCUAGGGUUUGCCCCUACCAAUCCCUCCUCCGCGUCUUCUGGGCUCGCCACAACCCCACCACCCUCAAUCGCCAGGUACUCUCGUAACACCCCCCAAUAGUCCCGAAUCGGAUAGAAAAGAGAUUAUAAUUGGAUAUAUAUAUAUAUAUAUAUAUAUAUAUAUAUUUAUACUAUUAUACUAUUGAGAGUACAAAGCGAUUGAUACUAUCGCGUUUUCAAUGCGGUUAGGAUUUAGGGUUGAGUGGGUGGUUAGUUGAAUAGUAUAAUAUAUGGGUGGUUCUUUAGGUUUAGGGUUGAAUGGGUGGUUAGUUGAAUAAUAUAAUAUAACGGUCGAUAGUACCUCGGUACGAUCGAUAGUAUAGUAGCCGGACUCUCUCUCUCUAUACGUGUGUGUGUAUAUAUAUAUAUAUAUAAAAGAGAUCCUAGUAAUAAUAAUUGUGAUUAAGCAUUUUGAGUCGACGGUGGUGCGUGCCCAACGAGUUAGUAAUUAUUGAAAAUUUUUGAUUUUGUUACCAAACUUUUUAAUUUAUUUGAUUUGAGGCGGUUAAUGAAGCUUUAGCUUCAAAAUUUGAAUGCGUCUGUAAGUUUAUGUUUAUAGAUUUAAUUAGCAUAUUUUAUGCAAUUCAAGUAAACUGUAAAUUGAUUGGAAUAAGCAGUUGGCUUAAAUUUUGUAUCGAAAGAGCCACCAAAUGGCAUAAAUUAAAUAAUUGGAAAAAUUGAAUACUACAAUUAAAAUUUUGAAAUGUUGUGCGCGGUCGAAUCAAAUGAUCUAUAGUUUAGGUAAGUUAUGUGCAUUUUUACCUUUUUUUUGAUACGCUAAAAUACAGAAAAAUCCUAUAAAUAUCCGCUUUUGCAUUUUUCCUCCUAUCUUUUAAAAAGUCUUUAUUUUAUCCUCUUGAAAUUUAAAUUAUAGCAUUUAACUUCGCACCGUUACUAUUUUGUUAUCGUUUUGUGCAUACGUUGUAUGGAAUAGCCGGGUAACUACUGAUAUAGCCAUUUAUUCUUGAAUCUCUUUUAUAAAGUUAUCUAAUCUAAGAAAAAAAAUAAAAUAAUGAUUUUUAUCUAUUUUCAUCAUUUCUAAGAAUAUAAUAAAUAUUUCAGGAGGUUACUGUUACCACACAAUUUAUGCACCAAAUUGUGACGAAAUAAUAACGAUGCUGUAAUAAGUGCUACAAUUUUAAAUUUAAAGGAGGGAAAAUAGAAUUUUGAAAAGACGGUUGGAUGAAGUACAAAAGUAUAUAUUUGUAAAAAAGUUUUCUGUAUUUUAGCCUAUAUUAUUAUACUUGUUAAUGGUCAUGCCUGAGUUGCCUUUUUGUCGUAUCCCUGUUUUGAGUGACAACGUGGUAUCUGAGUCGGUCCUCUGCUUUGGCGUCGAUCUUAUUUUUCUAAAUGAAAAUUUUUUGUUGUUGAAUGCGUCGGCAGAUGAACUUUUCUACUCUUGUUGCCAAAUAAAUAUCUUACAUGUGCAGUAAACACUCCACCAUCUUCUAUUGUAUAGAAUUAGUGUUUAAGAAAAUAAAAAAAAUCGAUAAUGAUAUACCAAAUUAGGCCUUAAAAUAAUAUUGUCUAGCUUAAACUUUUAGAGACAAAUGACUAUUUCAUAUAAUAUUUGAUUUUGGAUCCACUAGGUUUCGAGGUAAUUAAUUUCCUCCUAUUCGCUAUAAAUCCAUGUCUGAAUCUUAUAAAAAAUUCUCUAGUACGCAAGUACGGGAAGUGUUUAAUGUAAUAUUAAAUCAUUCUUCACUUCGUGGAUGGAACUAGAACUUUCUUUGAAGGGCUAAAUAGUUGUAGUUUAUUAAGUUUACCAUCUGAUCUUUGAAUUAUGUAGUUUUAUAAUAUAAAAACUAGAAUCUAGGGAUAUAGAGGAACAGUUAUUUAUAUAGUUCGAGAUGUAGUAAAAUUUUCAUUUUUGUAGAAAAAGAAAUGUAGCUUGAUUUGCAUAGCGCUUGUAGAAAAAUGCCAAAAUUCAGGAGAUUACAAGAGCGAAAACGUUUACCAAAUUUGUGCUUGAGAAAUUUUCAGAUAUAUGUACAUGAAAUUGGUAAGAAUCCUUUUAUAUUUUGACUCGGAAUCAAUUAAUGAACUUAGUAAUAGUAUUCUCUGUGGAGACUAUAGGACUUUGUUGUUUCAUAGUCCAAACCUGAAAAGAGUAAAGCUUAGGGGGUGUUUGGUUUUAACGUAAAACUGUGAAAAAUAGUUUGGUUUGUCGAGUUUUACGUUUUGUCGAGUUUGGUUUGUGGGGGGAAAAAAAUGGCUUUUUUGUUUGGUUGAAGGGAAAAAAAUUCCCAUUUGUUUGGUUGGGCAACAAAAAAAUGAAUGAAAAAGUUUUACGUAGCUUGACUUUUCGUUUUCCGUUAACAAUCGGCGGAAAACGAAAACACUCCAUUUUCCUCAAAUCUAUAAAAAUAGUUUUCUAAAACAAAAAAUUUACGGCUAAACAAACACACAGAAAACUAUUUUUCAAGUCGGAAAGUAAUCUUCAUUACAUUUUAUGGCCAACCAAACGCACCCUUAAUUUGCAAGCAAAAAAGCUCCUAAAUAGUUGCGCACAACAUGAAGUUUCCGAACAUUUGAUGUUCUUGUUCUUCACUGCGCGGAGGUUGAAUGGUUCUAUAUUCUGCUUUAUCGCAGGGAAACGACGUCGGCACUCAGUAUCGGUCGGGGAUCUACUACUACACUGAGGAGCAAGCCAAGCUCGCUCGCGAGUCGAUGGAAGCGAAGCAGCAGGAGUUCAAAGAGAAGAUCAUGACGGAGAUUCUCCCAGCCAAGGAGUUCUACCGAGCCGAAGAAUACCACCAGCAGUACCUCGAGAAGGGCGGCGGAAGAGGAGACAAGCAAUCUGCAGAGAAAGGAUGCAAUGACCCCAUCAGAUGCUAUGGUUGAUUCACUAUUUUUGCAUCAGUAGUGGUUUUAAGUUAUGUUGUUUCUCUUAUGCAUUAUAUAUUAUGCAUAAUAUAUAUGUGGUUGAUUUGAUACUCCUAAAUCUCAGCAAAAUAAGCAUGUUAUUGUUGGUAAAAUUGCUAAAUAUUAUACAAAAUGGUUGUUUGUGAUGUUUGUGGGUAUUUUUGUUUCAACAUUGCUUCGCAUUACUUUUGUUGCAAAAAGAUUCAUUUGUGUUUGAAUUAGUGUGUACACAAGUAGCUUUUUUUUUUUCUUUUUUUUUUUUUAAUCAUUCCUGUGGUUUCGCAAUUUUUCACUUUAGUGUUCUUUGGUUUAAAGUAUAUCAAUUUAGUAUUCUAUAGUUUUAUUUUUUUCUUUUCGUCAACCCAUCCGUUAACUUUUCGCUAAAUCAUAUAUAAAAAAUUUUAGAUAUUCUACUUAUAGUUUAUCGAAUAUUUAUUUUAAUAACUUUUAGUUUUAACUUUGUCGUUGAUUUAACGAAAAAUAAUUAGUGGAGGGAAUAAUAAAAAAAAUAAAAUAAAAUUACAGUGUACGAAAGUGAUACGCUUUAAAUUACGGGAGGCUAAAGUGAGAAAGUGUGAAACCAUAGGGGUGGUAUUUGAAGUUUUUUUUUUUAUUUUUUUUUGGGAAAACUUCAGAAAACCCCCCUGUGGUUUCGUGGUUUCUCAGUUUGCCCCUCUGUGGUUUAAAGUGUAUCAAAUUGCCCCCCCUGUGGUUUUAUUUUUAUCUUUUCGGUAGCUUUUUCAUUAAUAUUUUAUUAAAUUAUAUGCAAAAAAUUUCAGAUACCCAUCUAGAUUUAUCAAAUAUUCACUUUAGUAUCCUUUAAUUUUAACUUUAUCACUGAUUUACGAAAAAAAAAUAAUGAAAUUGAUAAGAAAAAGAGAAAAAAGAAACCACAGGAGGGUAAAUUGAUACAUUUUAAACCACAGGGGAGGCAAAAUGAGAAACCACGAAACCACAGGGGGGGUUUUUGAAGUUUUCCCUUUUUUUUUUUAAUAAGGAAUUCUAUUUUGGAUUAUGUCGAUUUUGAGGAUAUAUGAAUAGUAGUGAUUAAAGCCUAAGCAUAGGAUGGUUCACCACUCACGUGGUGGACCAAAUCCAAGCAAACAAAUUUCGACAUCAAAACAUAAGACAAAAUUUUAAAAUUUUAUGGAGCAUCGAUCUCUCCGUCGGAAGAGGACAAAGCCCACUUGUUUGUCUCUCUAUUUUAUAUACUUUUUCUAUAAAAAAAAUUAAUAUUAUAUUAUAAUUACAUUUUUAUUUUACUGUAAAAACUUUCAAAAAAUUUCACUUUGUCAUCUUUUUUAACUGUAGGUAUUUUUACUGAAAUAAAAAAUAAAAGUUCGAAGCGUUUAAGAAUUGUAAAUUACAGAUUGAAAAAGUAAAAAAUAUGAUAAAUAUUUGAAAAAACUUCAAAUACCAUCUUUGUGGUUUCACACUUUCUCACUUUAGUACCCUGUGGUUUAAAGUAUAUUAAUUUAGUGCCCCGUGGUUUCAUUUUUAUCUUUUUAUUAUCGAUUUCACUAAUUAUUUUUGUUAAAUUAGUGACAAAGUUAAAAUUAAAGGGUACUAAAGUGAUUAUCCGAUAAAGUUAGGCAGGGUAUCUGGAGUUUUUUUGUAUAUAAUUUAAUGAAAUAUUAACGAAAAAGCUGACGAAAAGAUAAAAAUAAAACCACAGGACACUAACUUGAUACACUUUAAACCACAGAGUACUAAAGCGAGAAAGUGCGAAACCACAGGGGUAGUAUUUUACUGUGAAACGGGGGUGCACCAAUGGUGCACCAGGUGCAUGUAAAAUAAUUUAUUAAUUUACAAAUUUCACGGUCCAAAAUAAGGCCAGGCCCGAGCAUCGCGCUGCACCGCAUCACAACGAAGCUCCCUCGCACGUGCGAAUCUCCACCACUACCCCUCUAAAAAAUUAUCGCGUGCACCGUGUGUAUAAAUGCAUCUCAUACACCACCUCUUGUAAAAGGAAAGCUAUAAUAUAUGCCUCAAAAAUCAAAAUCUAAUUCAUUAGAUAUGCAAUAUAAUUUAUUUAUGACAUUAAAAAGGUUUAUAUUUAAAGGCUAAAAUAUAGAAAAAUAUUCUAUAAAUACUCGUUUUUCACUUUUCUUUUCUGACUUUUAAAAGUUUAUAUACUUUUUUUCUUAAAGUUUGAAGAAUAUUUUUAAGGGUUACGUUUGUUAAUAAAGCAUGCGAAAGAAUCAAAUUAUCCAUACUUAUAAUUUUUUUAAAUAUUUUUUUAAUAAUGACGGAUCUCUGACGGAGGGAGAGGGAGAGUUACAUGCAUCAACUUGAAAUCUUUAAAGGGUUAUGAUUUUUAAAAAUUUAUAUUUUUUUCUUAAAUUUUUUAGAAUAUUUUUAAGAGUUACGCAGUUGAUGGAAAAAAAUAAAAUAACCAAAUUAUCCUUAUAAAUUUUUAAAUAUUUUUUUAACAAUGGCUGAGCUCUCUAAAUGCAUCAACUUGAAAUCUCUAGAGGGGUAAAGGGUAGGAUUUUCAAAGUCAGACAGAUUUUCUAUUUUUUAGUCUAUACAUUUAAAUUUUAUAAUUAUUUUUGGAGUUGGGCUGGAAUACUAUUGAUAAUAUCACUAUAACAAAAUUAGGUUAUAGGGACACAUGUUUGGGACACUUUUGAGUAAGUGUCCCAUUUAUGCUAAAACUUAAAAACACAUUUACUAAUGCCUAAAUAUAAAGCCCAAUCCAACCAAAAAUAAAAGAUUAUUCUAUUCAACCCACCACACCCAGUCCAUUUGGCUCGAUUACAAACAGAAAAGAAAAAAAAAAGAAAAAAUCAAUUACCAUCUUUUCUUCUCUCUUCACUCAAUCCACUGAAAUUCUAGACGAAGAGCCUUUACUGUCGUCCUCCUCCGCCACCGUAGCCAACGAGAUAGAGUUUCGGCGGUUGCUAAAUGCUUAAAUAAGUGUUGGUAAAUUAGCAGCACUCUUUUAGGUUAUAGCGACACUCUUUAACUGUCACUAUAUACCUAGCGAUCCCACAUAUAGCAACACUUUUUAAAAGUAUCGGUAAUUUUAGCUAGUAGCACUUUUUUGACAUGUACCUACAUUUAAAAGUGUCGCUAUAAACCGUUUUUGUUGUAGUGUAUUUGGCUCCUUUUGUUAUUAAGUUUUUAGCCAUUGGGUGAGGGAUUGUAGGAUUAGGAUGAUAUUAGUCCCUUAGGGUUGAGUGAUUCCUACUGAGUUAUAAUAUUUAAUCCAUUGGUUAGAAAUGGUCAAAUAAAUUAAUCCAAAGGCUAAAAAUUUGAUAGCAAAAGAGGGCAAACACUUUUAUGUUGAAACUUAAUAUUUAGAACUUAAUACAUCUUUGGGUAAGGGAGUCCAAAAUGGUGGAAUUUUUUUCCUUUGGUUAAAGUGGAUUGUAAUUUUACUCUAUUUUUUGGAGUAUAGUAUAACUAUAUUUCAAAAAUUACGUCAUUUUUUUUCUCUCCAAACGCUUCAUAGGAUUAUUUUUCUACUGGUGUAACAUAGUUUAACUAUGCUACGUUUUUAGGGGUAUCAAAACGGGGUCUUAAUGAUAUUCUAAUCCAACUUAUUAUUUCUGUAUAAGCUAUUUAGAUGUUGCAUAUCAUAAUCAUAGUCGAGGAGGUGUACUUGGUGCAUGCAACAAUUCAUUUCUCCUCUCUCUCUCUCUCUCUCUCUCUAUAGAUCUCCCCCUCACACAUGCAUGGUAUAGAGAGAAAGAUAUAUAGAGAGAGAGAGAAUGGGUGAAUGGGGCCAAGCUUAGAGAGAGAAAGAGGAGAGAGAGAGGGGCAUAGAGGAGUCCGUCGUUCUCCUAUGCGAUCUCUCUCUUUCUCCUCCUUAGUACAUAAUUUCUCUCUCUCUCUCUCUCUCUCUCUCUCUCUCUCUAUACAUAUUCUAUAUAUAUACACACAUUGCAUGUGUAAAUGGUUUCAAGCUUCUUCUCGCUGUUCACGUGCAUGGCGCCGGCGAUGGAGGAGCGCCGCGACGCCAUCGAGGAAGCGCCCGUGCCGAGAGCAGAAUCCGAUCGGGGGGUCAGCGUAGCCGUCGACGGAGGCGGCGGCAGCGAUCGCGGGGCGACGUCAGAGCAGAGCUACGGCCGGGUGGCUGUGAUCGGCAGCGGCAACUGGGGCAGCGUCGCGGCGAAGCUCAUCGCCUCCAACGCCGCCAAGCACCCCAUGUUCCAUGGUAAAAAUUUAAGAGCAAACUUCAAAUACCACCUUAGUUUCGCACUUUCUAAAAUACCCUGUAGUUUAAAUAGUUUAAAGUCUAUUAUUUUUCUUGUUACGUCAGUUCCUAUAUUAAUAUUUCAUUAAAUUAUAUACAAAAAGCUUCAGAUACCCGAUCUAAAUUUAUCGAAUAUUCAUUUUAGUAAUCUUUUGUUUUAAUCUCGUCACUCGUCACUGAUUUAAUAAAAAAAAAAUAGUGAAAGAAAAAAUAAAAAAAAAAUAAAAUAAAAUUACGGGGCACUAAAUUGAUACACUUUAAACCAUAUGGUACCAAAAUGAGAAAAUGCGAAACAACAGGGAUGGUAUUUGACGUUUUUUCUAUAAUUUAAUACGGUAUCAGAAUAAAAAGUUUUGUGUUCGAAUUUCGUACCGUAUAAUUCAGUGAAAGAGAAUUUCAGAGAAUUUCAGAAUCCACCGUCAUCGUCAAUUGUCAUAGGGAGAAUUGUUGAAUAUAUAAAAUUAAGAAAUUGUAGUUCUCUUAAAUAGCUCAAGACCUUUUUUGGUAUUGUAUUUGAAUAUAAAUUUUUUUAAAAAAAUCACUUUCUCUCUCUCUCUCUCUCUCUCUCUCUGAUAGCUUGAGCAAUUAGGAAGUAACAGUAUCUAAAAAGUAACUUUCAAAUGUUUUUUUGACAUUAUUGGUCUAAUAGUGUUUUAAAAUUUGUAAUUUUAAUGGUCGAUAUAAAAUGUUUUUUUCGUUUAACGGUAUAAAGAUAUUCAAAUCAAUUGAAUUUUAAUUAUAAAAUUCUUUAAACUAUUUAGAAUAAGAUCUAUAAUCUUGAUCUUGACUACAAACAAGACUCGUAUUAUCACUUUUUUAAAAAUCUUUAUUUGUAGCUGUUUAUUUUGUGUCCACUUGAUGAACAAGAGAACAAUAUUGAAAAAAUAUGAAAUUUAAUUUCUACAUGUUUCAAGUGGUAUAGAUCAUGUUCAACGAUACCGAUCGUCGGUUUGGAGGCUCCAUCAUCGAAAAUAAAUGGAUGGCAAUAGAGUUCAUUUGUUACUGAUAGCAUUCCGGCUCAACUCUGUCUCUGUCUCUCUCUCUCUCUCUAUACGUAUAUAUUCAAGCUAUAUCGAGCCGAAUGUGAGCGAGAUGAUCCCAGCUCGGAUUCGGCUCGUUAAGAUUUCGAGCUGAAAAAUAGUUAUUAAACAAGCAACACGUUCUCGAGCUCAUUUCGAGCCGAACACAAGCUGGCUCGCUAACAGCGAGCUGGAUUGCCAGCCCUAAACAACAGUCGGAGAAAACUUACUAAAAUUCGGUUAGACGAUUAUUAAUGAACAUGACUACAUUAUUUGCAUUGAAAAUUUUAAAAUCUGAUUCGUAGAGUUAUUUUGUGAGAAACUUUUAGAUGAAGUGAGGAUGUGGGUGUAUGAAGAAACAUUGCCGAAUGGCGAGAAGCUCUCUCACACCAUCAACCAAACCAAUGUAAAAUUAUCUUUCAUUUCCUUGUUCAAUUUCUUUGUUACAAUGCUUGCACCUUAGGAAUUGAAUACUUACUGCAUGAUUAAUUAUUUUGCGUGACGAACAGGAGAAUUGCAAGUAUUUACCGGGAAUUAAGCUCGGCGUAAAUGUAGUAGCAGAUCCUGACCUAGAAAAUGCAGGUAAUUUCACAAAAUCAUAUAUAUUAAUAGUCUCAAAUGUCGUCGAAUUGUGAUGCCAUGUUUCUGAAUUUGGUUUUCUUUUACUGGCAGUUAAAGAAGCGAAUAUGUUGGUGUUCGUGACGCCGCAUCAGUUUGUGGAGGGCAUAUGCAAGAGGCUUGUGGGGAAAAUAAGGCCGGGGGCCGAGGCCAUUUCGCUCAUCAAGGGAAUGGAGGUCAAAAUGGAAGGACCAUGCAUGAUUUCCAAAUUGAUCUCCGACAUGCUCGGCAUCAACUGUUGUGUCCUCAUGGGGGCUAAUAUCGCUAACGAGGCAAGAAUAGAUUGAAUCUUCUCUUUCGCUUUCAUAAUGAAAAAGAGAAGAGAAAAUAAUAAGCGGAGAUAUCUGAGUGCAGAUUGCUGUCGAGAAGUUCAGCGAAGCGACAGUCGGGUAUAGGCAGGAUAAGGAAGUGGCGCAAAGAUGGGCUAGACUGUUCGGCACAUCAUAUUUCCUAGUAUCUGUCGUAAGUGCUGUUCCAUUGCUUUCGAUAACUUACGUGUGCUGCGCUAAUUUAUAUACAGAUCUUUUCAAAGUUACUUAUGUCGACUUGAUCGAAAUCAUUCAUUGUGUAAUAAGAGUUAUACAACGUUAACACCGAUUCCAAAAGCCCGAGCCCCUAAAAAAAGGGUGACCAAUUUCUUUAAAGCGCACAGACAUAACGCCCAUAGAUCUCAACUGUGACUUGAUCUAACUUGCUCUCUGCAACGUAAGCAAAAUGCUAGCCUACCCGCCAAUAAUAAUAACUCCGUCUUCUACUACGAGUCGAGCAUGAAUACUUGCGAAAGCAUUUGGACCCUAAUACAUCCUAUCGAGAAACGGUCUUAAUUAAGGCAUAUAUCUAUAUGGAAAAAAUUUCUUCAUAGAAUCAACAAUUUAUUAGUCGAUACAAAGAGAGAGUAAAAUUAUAAGUACACAAUAUUCCAGGUUAGGGUAAUUUUCCCGUAAAUGUUUUACUAACCAUAUAUCAAGAUCAAGGUGUAUUACCAUGCCAGGGCCAUAUUGUAAGUGAACGGAUAACCGUAAGGGUGUAAAUGAUACAUUUUUGUGGUCAUAAUCGCCGACAGGUACAGGACGUCGAGGGAGUAGAGCUGUGCGGAACGCUAAAGAAUGUGGUGGCUAUUGCGGCAGGUAUCGAACACACACCUUCGAACAGACACCCAACUCUUUUAGUGUUUGUUUUGUUCCCUCCCGUCGGAGAGUUAAGAUCCAAAAUGGUGAUUUUGCAGGUCUUGUUGAUGGCUUGGACAUGGGAAACAAUACCAAGGUUUGUAAUUCUUUCGUACGAACUAUUACCUAAAAGACCGAUCGAGUAGGAAAUGAGCCCAAAAAUAUAUAUUACCACUCUGACUCACGUGCAUUGUGAAAUUUAAACCUGCUACAUGUCAAAAAUGGGGAUUGAACCCAUAACCUCACAGAAUGAAGUACCAUAUUACACAACAGAUCGAUCAAGUAGGAAAUGGGCUUAGGAAUAUAUAUUAACAUGAACAAAUGGAACAAAAUUGCGGCAGGUUUAUCUUUUUAUAUUCCCUUUGGAUGUUGUAAUAUUUUAGGCCGCGAUAAUGAGGAUUGGUUUGAGGGAGAUGCGCGCUUUCUCCAAAUUGCUCUUCUCGUCGGUUAGGGACAGCACAUUCUUCGAAAGCUGCGGCGUCGCUGAUCUGAUCACUACGUGCCGUAUGUACUUCGACUCGAUUCGAUUCUUUCGCCUCGACUCAUACUCGAUCCAUAUACAUGCAUUCAAUGUUUUUUACUUUUUUGUGGCACAGUAGGGGGGAGAAACCGAAGAGUUGCCGAGGCAUUCGCAAGAAGCGGCGGCAAAAGGUUCUUCUCUAUAUGCCUUCCGUAUUUAUCUUAUUUGAAUUGAACUCUUUUAAAGCACUUUCACGUUUUUAUGAUCUCGUCGACAGAUCAUUCGAUGAGCUCGAGGCGGAACUACUGCAAGGCCAGAAACUGCAGGUAUGUGAAUACGAAUUUGUAAAACUUCUGCGACGCUGAAAAUACACUGCUCAUGAAUUGAACUCCUGAAGGGCGUGUCGACGGCGAAAGAAGUGUACGAAGUUUUGAGCAACCGAGGAUGGCAGGGGCUGUUUCCGCUCUUCACGACAGUGCACGAGAUCUGCGUCGGCGAACUGCCUCCGACGGCGAUCGUCGAGUACAGCGAGCACUCGCCGAAUGUAUCCAUCAUGGAGGGUUUCACUCAACAUUACUACUGAACAUCAUACUAUAACAUUUUGUUACCAAUUAUAUUGGAAUGUUCACAAAAUCAUGUAACUUGAGAAAACUUAUAUUUGUAACUGGGCUAGGUUGAAGUAUGUUGAAUCUUUUAUAUAGAAAAUUAUUAUGAAUCUUCAAGGCAUUAUAAAAGGAAUUAUUGAUCAUAAUAUAAAGCAUAUAUAUAGUUUGCUGUUCCUUUUUGUAGAGAAGUGUGUUUUAAGUUGUUAAAUUGAGACCAUUUGGUUGUGUACGUAAUUAGAAAUACAGCGUAAUUAAUUAAGAUGCAUGCAGUUAAAAAUACAGUGAUUAUAAUGAUGCAUAUUUUAUUUGGUUAAAUGCAGUCGAAAGCGUUACAGCUAUAAAUAACUUGUUUGAUAAUUGUACACGGUUGAGAAGUGUUUUUUAUAAAAUUUUAUCACUUUAUAUAUGAAAUGGAGAGACUUUCUCCAAUAUAGAGAAAAAAAUUUAUUUUCUGAUUAAAACUAAUUAGGAAUUCAAAUAUCUUAGUUGGAAUUCACGCCAAUUUGAGCAUUGUUUUAAUUGCUGCAGUUAGGCUUCCGCAUGAAGUUUCGACAGUAGCAACUGGAUUCAAAUUCAUCAAUCAAACACCGGAUUUAAAUCUACAUGUAAUUACAACUGCAGUACAGUUGCAACUACAUGCAACCAAAUAGCUUAAGUUAGCGAUUAAAUUUAUAAAAUUUUUAACAUAAUAAGACUAAUAAAUUAAAAAAUCAAAUGAUCGAAAGUUACGACGGUAUCGAUAAAAAAUAGUAAAAUAUUUGGUGGGCCUAUUCUGAAGUGGCCUAACCGUAUUCAAAUCUGACCUGACUUGACCUGAUCCGACUGAUUUUUGUCACAUAAUCUCCGUUUGGUCUAGCAAAGAAGGGGUUCGACCUCAUCCUCUUAUCGAAGAGGUUCGAUCUCAUCAUCUGUUCUAAAAGUACGUGUUCGGAUGCAACUUUAUGAUUCCGCUACGUAAUUACUAUAUCGAUCAAUUCGCUAGCUCAAAUCUUAAAGCGACACAAACGACGGUGAUCCUCGUCUUACUCUCAUGCCAAGGACACGAGAACUUAUCGGGCUAAAGCCCCUUGACCCGAACCCGACCCGAGCAGCUCCACUUGUUAACCCAAAUUGGUGGCAUUAAACCGGUCGAGUCCGAAUCGGGUCGGGUCGGGUCGGAUCGAGCCAAUGUGUUUGACAUUGAGACACAAUCGAGUUCACUGGACCAUGCACAACCAUAAUAGGAGUUGAAUGUUCCUUUAGUUUGAUUGGUACCGUUCAUUUUCGAGUGUGUGAUCUACCGACAUUUUUAAUAAUAAUAAUAAUAAUAAAGAAUAUAUAUUAGGCGACAAAUAUGCUACAUUUUACUUAUGAUCCUCAAAAUAUAAUACACAUGAUAUUUUGGUCCGCAAAUUUUAACUUGGUUGUAAUUUUUUAUUCGAACUUUCUUAAUUCUUACAAUCAAGUGUUGCAGUACGUAUUAAUGUGAUUAAUGAUGCGACGACAAUUAAGAUGUCAUAUUAUUUUUACAUUAGCGAUACUUUAAUAUUAAGUUUGCUAAAUUGAAUUGUGAAAUUUAAUUACAAUACUUUACAAAAAUUUAAAUUAAAAAUUAUAAUAUAUUAAAGUUUGAGAAUUAAAAUGUGGAGCUUUUUAUAUUUUAAAUACCAAAAAAGUGUUUUAAUCAUGUGUUGCAGUGUUAAUAUGAUUAAUGACGUGACGACAAUUAAAAUGUCAUAUUACUGUUUCACAUGGGCGAUAUCUCAACAUUAAGUCUGUUUACUGAAUUGUGAAAUUUAAUUACAAUAGUUUAUAAAGAUUUAAACCAAAAUUUAUAGUAUAUUAAAAUUUAAAAAUUAAAGUGUGAAGCUUUUUAUAUUUUAAGUGCCAAAAGUGUGUUUUAAGGUUUAACCCACACUUAUCAUUUUGACUAAAUUACAUAGCGUGUUUGGUUCGAAGUCGGAGUCGGAAUCGGAAUCGGAAUCAAAAUAAGCUGGAAUCGAAAUCGGAAUGACUCAUUACCUAAUUCCGUUUGGUUCAUCACCUGAAUCGGAAUCGGAAUAAAUCAUUCCCAUUGUUGGUGUUUGGUUCAAGUGGAUAUAAAAAAAAUAAUCAAAUUAAUAUACUAACAUNAUUAUCUUUAUAAUAUAUUAAUUUAAAUUCAAAUUCAUAAGUUAGAUUCGAAAUACUUGAUUAAAUUUUAAUUUUUAAUUUAAGUUCAAAUUAAAAUUUAAAAUUAUAUAUUUAAUUUUUAAAUUUUAACUCAUAUUUUAAUUAAAAAAGUUGAAAAAAUAAAUUUAAUCUGAAUAAAUAUCAAUUCCGUCCGGAUUCAACUUCCAAUCCGGCAUCCUAGGCCGGAUUGAAAAAAAGGGUGAUUGGGGAAUUCCCAUUCCACUCGGGAAUUGGAAUCGGAAUGGGACUCUCGCGUACCAAACACCCACAAACGGAUUCACCCAUUCCGAUUCCGAUUUCAUAAUAAAAAAGAAGCGAACCAAACACACCCAAAAUGUUCACAGGGGAGUGCGGUGUGAACUAUGAUGAUAAAAUGAUCAUUUUACUUCUCAUCAUUUUCGUCUUCUCCCUCAUCUUGCUCAUCCGCCGCCUCGAUCGGCUGCGGUUCGGGCCUCGAUCACCCGCAGUUCCUCUCCAUUUUCUUCUCCAUCUGCUCCCCUUCUCCUCUGCACCCUCGUCGCCCCUCCAUUUCAGCGACAGUAGGAAGAAAAUCGAGUUGGGCGUGGAUGGAAAAGUGGGCAAGGCUAGGUAACGAGGGUGAAGGCGAGGCGACGGAAGAGGACGAUGGGGUGUUUGUAUGCGUGGACGGAGAUGUGGGCGAGGACGAGGCAGUGGAGGAGGGCGAGGCGGCAAGGCGGAGGAGGGCGAAGCACAGUACAUAGGGCGGAGGGUAUUUUUGGCAUAAAAAAUAUUUUAUAACGGAAUCCUAACGGAUCACUAACAAUAGGAGGUGAAGUGAAUAUUUUUUAUUUUACAAGAAGGUAAAAUAUAGAUUUUUAAAUGACAGAAAAAAAAAAGUAAAAAUUGACAGAAAGGGUAUAUGUAAUUUAGCCUAUAACGUUAUUUUAACUUUUGUAAUUCCAAGCAUAUGUACUUUGCUACAGGGCCAAGAUAAGAAUAUUUAAUUGCAGCUUUUGAGGACAAAUUCCCAUCAUUCUUUUACCCUUUUUCUUUUUGGAUAAAUUAAAUUUGCGGAUGGAAUGCAUAAAAAGUCCCUUCACUAAUGUAUAUUAGGAAUGGAUAAAGUAUUAAAAUAUAAACUUUAGUUUAAUUAACUAAUUUAAGGAAAAUGAUUGAUUUAGAUGCUAAUUAACUAAACAUAUUGAAAUAUAUGUUUCUCUGUACGUAAGAAACAUUGCAUAACUUUUUCUCGCCACUAAAGUUGGGGGAUUCAAAUUAUAACUUUUACUUUUUAAUUUCAAAAUUAUAUUUUGACAACUUAUUGUUACGUCGAAUAAUUCGGACUUUUUAAAUUAUUGAGUCACUAUUAUGAAAUAUAUAUAGAGAGAGAGAGUUAGACUGUUAUACUAUCGAUAACACGAAGGCCUCCAUAUUAUUAGGUUGUUUUCAAUAAUACGGCUUUCAAAUCAAAGAUCGGUCCGUUAGACUUGAUCUAUACUGUUGAAAUUAUUUAAAAACUAAAUUUCAUAGUUUUUCAACAUUAUUUAGCUAGUGAUUAAGAUGUUUCAAAAUUAACACUUUUAAUUGUUGAUGUUAUACGUUUGUAAAUUUAACAGUGUAAAACAAAACAAAUCUGAUAAAAUUUUUAUAAAAAAUUAUUUUCACUAUUUAGAGUAAAAUUAGUAAAUCCGUUCUUAAAUUUAAAUUUUUUAUCAUCAUUUUUAUGAGAUUUGUAUUUUCAGCCGUUUAUUUUUAGAUUGCUCGUUUGAUAGGUAAAUGAUAUCGAAAAACUAUUAAAUUUAGUUUUCAAAUGCUUUCAAUAAUGUAGAUCAAAUCUAACGAAACUGAUCGUCGAUUUGGAAGCUGUAUCAUUGAAAAUAAUUUGAUAGCACGGAGGUCUAUGUGAUAUCGAUAAUAUACCAGCCGGACUCUUAUAAUUAAUUAAACACCUGGUGAUCAUCAUACAUAGGGCCUACUAAAGUGAUCAUCAUAAUCACUAAUUAGAUAUUUAGAAUCACGAGGCCUCUCUUUAAACUUUAAUAAUUGUUGCUUUUUGGUGCCAUGGAAUAGAUGUCUCCAAAAUCCCAGUAGUUGUCCUGUGAAGUAAGGUAUAGCUUAGCUUUUUCAUUGUAUUUGUUAUCCAAAAGAUAUAUUUAUGAAUAUCUUGUUCGGCAUAUCCAUUUUGUUUACCGGAGUGAAAUGCAAGGUACUCGAUACCCGAGAAAGUAUAUGUGGCCUCCUAAAUUAUAUUUUAAGAUAUUUAAGAUAUUCUGUUGGCUUAAAAGGGUCAACAUUCUGUCAUAUGGCGGUAUGCCAGAUUGGACCGAGUCAUGUUUGAAAAUCCAACUGAGUCAUGUUUGAAAUGGCGUGGGAUCGGAUUGGAUCGAAUCAUAUUCGAAGUGGUAAGAGGCUGGUUGGACGGAGUUACAAUCGAGACCCGUAAAUACUGUGUUUGUACGCUUUAAGAGGCCGUUUCGUUAGAUGUGAUAUCAAAUGCAGUGUAGUUAAAAAUAUACGCAGUUAAAAAUGCAAGAAUUACAACUACAUACAUCCUGUUUGGUUGGAUGUAGUAAAAAGUACUGCAACUAUAAAUAAUUUGUUUGAUUGCAUACAGUUAAGAAAUAAUUUUUAAAAUUUUAUCAUUUUAUAUAUAUGAUAGUGAGAUUAUCUCCAAUAUAAAAAUAUAUAUAUUUUUAUUUAAAAUAUAAUUAGGGACGUAAACUUAUCUGUUGUUUAAAGUUACUCCUUUCAACUACUGCAGUUGGAACCACAGUCAAUUUGAGCGUAGUUCCAACUGUUGUAGUUGGGCCUCUUCCUAUAGUUUUUCCUACAGCAGUUGAAGUUAAAAAUAUCAUAUACCAAAUGUUGAAUAUGUAUUUGCAUAUAGCUGCACCUGCAGUGCAAUUGCAACUACAUGCAACCAAACGAUUGCAUCUUUCUAACGGCUUGAGUUUUAGGGAUUAAUUAUUAAUAGCUGGCGCCCAAUGAUCCGACAAAAUCAUCACCCCGAUCCGAAUGCGUUAUGCUCAGAAGUAAUAACUGUCGGUGUACUGUAAUGAACAAACUAAAAGCAAAGCGAUUCAAAGAUAAUCUUAAAUGGUGUACUUUUUCACUCUAUAUAAAGCCCAUGUAAGAAGCCCCAGAUGACAAAGUGCAGAAACCAAGCAGUUCUCUUCUUUCAACUCUAGUUGCAUUGCAGUGCUGCAGGUUUAAGCAGUGAGCAUGGCAUCUUUCGCCGCGGGGAUGGCGGCGCCGAUAAGGGGCGAGCGGCACCUCUUCUCGGCGUCGGACGACAGCGCGAUCAUCAAGCAGAUCCUGGCGACGCACACCCCCGACGGCCGCGAAGUCGACGCCAGGCCGCUCCUGCAAGUGGUCGAGGACGUUCUGCAGCGCGCCACUCCGACCGUCGUCGUGGUAAGAUCAACUGUAAACCAAGAUGUCUUAGGUUCGUUUGGACCGGUCGGAUCGUAAACUAGUCCUAGCCUAGGCCAAGUCACAUUUUUGAAUUCGAUUUGGUCGAAAACCGCAAAAUGUCGGUUAAUCAUUAUUCAACCACUCAACCCAGUUUUGACCUAACGUACAAUGAUUCAUUAAAUCUGAUCACUAUAUAUAUAUAUAUAUAUAUAUAUUAGUAAAUUAAUAAUUUAAAGUAAAAAUAUAUAGAAUUUAUCUGAACUAUGGAUCAUAUUGAGUCUACUAUUCGACCUUUCAAAAAUUUAAUUCUUACUAUUCAAUAUUUCAAUUUAUUUGUGAUAAAUUGGACAACGGCAUUCUGACUUUAAAAUUUAAGCUAAAACUUUUACUUUAAUGAAUUUACAGUUGCGAGAACUGUGUUGAAUCUAAAAUAUAUAAACGCCGCUCUCUGUUAGCUUAAGUUUUUAAGAGUGCAAUAGUUAUUUCGUAUUCUUUAACAAAUUGCAUGAAAUAUAUUAACAUAAAUUAAAUCUGUAAACAUAAAUGCCGCAUUCAAACUUCAAAGCGAAAGUGCUAUUUAUCGUCUGGAAUCAAAUAAAUGAAAAGAUUGGUUUAAAUUGUCGGAUUGUCGAUUCAAAACGGUUCAUACUUCACAUAAGUUAUGUGUGUAAAAUAUGUAUUAGAAUAUUGUAUUAAUUUCCAUAUAUAACUGACCGUCCCUAACUCGGUUGGUAACCGAGAUCCCAAGUUCGAAUCCUAAUUGAUUCACAUUUCCAGCUAAGUUUAUUUCUAAAUAAAAUAAACGAAGCAGAUAGCAUAUGCUAAGUACCUAUCUAUCAAAAAAAAAAAAAUCCCAAUAUAUGGAUUUUAACAUAAUUUUAUCUAUAUUUGGAUUUAUGAUUACUAGAGCCACCACUCUCUGAUCAAGUAGUAGAAGAGAAGGCCCACCAGUAGAGACCGUUGGAAUGCUCGAGGCCUUAGCAUACACCAUCCAUAAAUCUCCUGCGAGUAAUUUUUUUAAAAAAAAAAUUAAUGUUUAUAUAUUCAUGUACAAAUGUUAUAACUUUUAGAUAUAUCCAUGUAUAUAGCACUUUUUACUAAUUCCUUUUUACUACUAUAAUUACUUCUCUAUUCAUGAAUUGACAAAAAAUAAGUGGACGUAGUAUUACUCAUAUUAAUAUUCCUUCGCCAUUCAUUUAUCUUCAUUUCCAACAAAAUAGACCAUCAAUUCAUUGUUUUUAGCGGCUCUUGAGAUUUGCGUGUUUCAUGUGGGACGAUGAUUGAUGGUAUGUAUCCAUUGAUGUUAUUAUCUAAAAAAUGUAGUUUUUUGAGAAAAUCUAAAAGGUAAGUUGAUAGAGAUAUACGACCGCUUCAUAUAAUAUUUAUAUAUAUAUAUAUAUAGAGAGAGAGAGAGAGAGAGAAGAGAGAGAAGAGAGAGACUACUAUGCUAUCGAAAGCAACGGAGCCUUCCGUGCUUCCAGCUUAUUUUCGAUGUUGCGACUUUUGAAUCGUCGAUCGCUUCGUUAAAUUUGAUCUAGAGUAUUUGGAGUACCUAGAAAAUAAAUUUUAUUAUUUUUCGUUAUCAUUUGCCUAGUGAUCGAGAUGGGCUCAAAAUUACAAAAUUUCAAUGGGCCAUAGUGACGCCGUUUGCAAGUUAAACGUGUAGAAUAUCCAAAUCACGUGAAAUUUGAUAGAAAAUUCUUUAUACUAUAUAAAACAAGAUCAAUAUCUUUGAUUUAAAAUUUUAAUGUCAUAUUAUUACAUUUAUAGAUUUUUAUUUUCAGCCGUUGAUUUUGAGCCCAUUCGUUCACUAGGCAAAUGAUAUGUAAAAUCAUAAAUUUAUAUUUAAGUACUUCAAAUACUCUAAUCAAGUUUAACGGAGCCGAUGCGAUUGAAAGUCGCAACAUCGAACCGAGCUGAAAGCACGAAGGCUCCGUGCUUUCGAUCAGCAUACGUAGCUCUCACACUCUCUUCCUCUCUUCUCUCUCUCUCUCUCUCUCCUCUCUCUCUCCUCUGUCUAUAUAUAUAUAUAUAUAUAGAUUUAGGCUACUAUGCUAUUAAUAGCACCAAGUCAUUGGUGCUACCAAGUUUUUGGCCAUUGGAUUAAGAGAUGUGUGGUUAGGAUAAUGUGGGCCCCCUAUAGUUGAGUGGAUAGUUGGUUGAAUAGUAUGAUCUAAUGGGUGUAAAUGAUCAAAAGGAUAGAUCUAACGGCGGAAAAUUUGAUAGCACCAAGUGUUUCGUGCUAUUAAUAGUAUAGUAGCCGGACUCUAUAUAUAUAUAUAUAUAUAUAUAUAUAUAUAUAUAUAUAUAGUGUCAAUGCGUGAUGUUUUAAGUGAGGAGAAGUAUCUAGUACAGUAGCUUAAGCGUUAGAGAAAAAGCAUCUCAUUUUGCGUGGAAUGAUUAUUACAGAUUACGUGCAAGUGUUCGGGUGGCAGCGACGCGCACGCAAUAACUCUGACUCUCUUCAACUCGCUCUCGAGCUACUCCUGGGACGCCAAAGUCGUCCUCGCACUCGCGGCGUUCGCGGUGAGCCACGGUGAGUUCUGGCUCACCGCGCAGCUCCACACGGUCAGUCCGCUCGCGAAGUCCAUCGCGCUGCUGAAGCAGCUCCCCGACAUUCUCGAGCAUACCGACAUUCUCAAGCCGCGAUUCGACGCCGUCAACAACCUCAUCAGGGCCAUGCUGGAUGUCACCAAGUGCAUCAUACAGUUCACAGAGCUUCCUUCUGAAUACAUCUCCGUCGACUCCCCCGACAUGUCGACGGCGAUGGCCCACAUCCCGACUGCGGUGUACUGGACCAUAAGAAGCAUCGUCGCUUGUGCUGCACAGAUCAUUGGGCUCAUAGGCCUCGGUCAUGAGUAAGCUUAAACUAUUAGAGAACGGUGUUUUACAUUUUACGUCAGACUUUUUUAUGAUUUUUUUUUUUUCGAUUUUUAGGUACAUAACCUCUACCACUGAGGCAUGGGAACUAUCAAGCCUAGCCCACAAAGUUAGCAAUAUUCAUGGCCAUCUCACAAAGCAACUCAACCUUUGUCAUCGAUACAUUGGUUUGGAAUAUUUUAUCUUAUACUUAUCUAUACAAUUAGAAAGAACGCUCGAUCAUUACUCACUAUUAUAUGAAACAAUUAUUUUUUUCUAAAAGUUUAAGCUGACAGAGAAUAAUAUUCUUAAUAUUUAUGUUCAACAUUUCCUUUUGUGUUUGCGCUUGAGACUAUGAAACAAGCAGCCUAGAGCUAGCACUCAAACUUAGAAUCUUCUGCUCUAAUAUUAUGUCAAAUGAUGUAAAAAAAUAACUAUCAGAGAACACUAUUUUUAGUAUGUUUAUAUUCAAAAUCUAUACACGGAAAUACAUAUGCAUGCAGAUGAGAAGAAGCAAGUUGAAUCGUACCAAAAUCUAGUGCGACUGUUCGACACGGUGCACAUCGACAACAUGAAGAUCCUUCGGGCAUUGGUCUCCUCGAAGGAAGACCAUACAAUUUUCGACGGCACGACCAAGCGAAGAGUUAGCAUCGACGUGUUGCGACGAAAGAUCGUGAUGCUAUACAUUUCCGACCUCAACAUCAGCAAUGAGGAGCUACUCAUGCUGGUCCAGAUUUACAAUGACAUCCACCACGGGAGACUGGAGCGGCACUACGAGAUUAUUUGGUUGCCGAUAACCGAUAAGCACGACCCAUGGGACGAAUCCAAGGACGCGACGUUCCACCGCCUGGUGUCGGUCAUGCCAUGGUACUCGGCGCACCAUCCUUCAUCGGUCGACCCCGUGGUGGCGAAAUACGUAAGGGAGAUGUGGCACUUCGAGAAGAAGCCCUUGUUGGUAGUGUUGGAUCCGCAAGGGAGGGUAGUCUGCCCUAAUGCACUCCACAUGAUAUGGAUAUGGGGAAGCCUGGCUUACCCCUUCACCAGCAGUAGGGAGGAGGCUCUUUGGAAGGAGGAGACUUGGCGACUUGAGUUCCUCAUCGACGAGAUCGAUCCCAUUCUGCUGAGCUCGGUAUUCAAAAUCUUUAACGGUCGAAAUUAAGCCAGUAAUAGUGACCAUAUUUAGUGAAUCUUCUAUUUACCAUCUAAUGUUAGCGUUUGUUCACGUCUUGAACAGAUUAAAGAAGGGAAAUACGUGUGCCUAUACGGAAGCGAGGACAUCGAGUGGAUACGGAAGUUCACGACGCUGAUGAGGCAUGCGUGCGAAGAAGUUGGGGUUCAGGUGGAGAUGGUGUAUGUCGGGAAGAGCAAUCCCAAGGAAAGGGUGCGGAAGGUGGUGGCAGCCAUUGCGGCAGAGAAGCUCAGCAGUUAUUGGGAGGACCUUGUCAUGAUCUGGUUCUUCUGGGUUCGGCUGGAGAGUAUGUGGCACUCUAAGAUACAACGCGGGAAGAGUGUUGACGAUGACCCUAUUAUGCAGGAGGUGAUAUCGAACACUCGUUUUUCUCUAAAAGCUAGAAACUACUAAAAACUCUGAAAAAAUUAUAAAUACUAAAAACACUGUCCAUGCGAACUCAUCUAUUGAAAAAAAAAAAGCCUAUAAUUUGGAGAAAAUCCAACCGUUCAUGUUAGGAGUACACACAUGCCAAUUUGGCUGUUCUCUUACUUUUCUUUUUCCUACUACAACUUAGCAUAGAGCUUCUGCUGUGGCGAAAAGUCGAUACGACUUUAGUGCUUCUCCUAGUAGAAAUACGGAAAUAUUUAUUAAACAGAAUUGCACAUUGAAUAGGUAAUGACGAUGUUGAGCUUUGACGGGAGCGAUGAAGGGUGGGCGGUGAUCAGUCGGGGGUCGUUCGAGAUGGUGAAGUCGGGAGGGAAGAAGCUCAUCGACUGCUUGGUGCAGUUCGAUGAGUGGAAGGCCAGUGUUGAGGGGGAGGACGGCUUCGUCCGAGCGCUCACGACGGCGCUGGUGCCGCACCAAACUCGCGAGCACUGCACACGCCUCAUCCUGCCGGUGGAUGCCCGCCGCAUACAGGAGCAGCUGGUGGUCUGCGCCGAGUGCAAGCGCCCCAUGGAGAAGUACGUGCUCUACCGCUGCUGCAACGACUAGUUACGGCUUAACCAGCAUUAAUAAUCUAGGCUCAGGUGAAUGACACACUAACAAAUUACUUUAGAAAAGCUCUAUAAUGACUGUGCAUGAUGGCAUGUAAAUGUGAUACACACCAUUAGCAUAGAGCCUUCACGAAAUAAUUUGUCAGUAUGUCGUUCACCUCACCCAAAAUAAUUUCUAGACCUCGUCUGAUAUAUAUCUUUUUUUUAUUUUUUUUCAAGUAGAAAUUUUAUGUGAAAGGAUUGGAGUGGAUUGUGAAUUGUUUGUCGUCUUUUAUGCGAGUGCUUGUGUGGCAAUAAAAUACAAAAACUUGGAAAUAAUUUUCUUUUUUUUCUCUCUUUUUUUUUCUAGCGUAUCUAUUUAGUUCCGUGUAAUUGCAACUGCAUUAUAAAUCUGAGUUACAUGUAGGUCAAUUUCAUUAUAUUACUAUUUAGCUUCUAUAUAUAGAACUAGAUUGCAAUACUAUCAAUAACACCAAGCUAUUGCUGCUAUUAGUUUUUAACUCUUGGAUUGAAAAAUGUACGGUUAGGAUGAUGUGGGCUCCCUAGGGUUGAGUGGGUGAUUGGUUGAAUAGUAUAAUAUAACAGAUAAAAAUAAUCAAAGAGUUAAAUUUGACGGUGGAAAACUCGAUAGCACCAAGCCGCUAUCGAUUGUAUCCCAGCCGGACUGUUUAUAUAUAUAGUUUUAAUAUUUUUUUUCUAAAUUUUAAAAAUAUUUUUUGAUAUCGGCAAUUUUCGAAGGGUUUUUACGUAAUUAGAGUUGGACAAGAGGGGUUAAUCCAAUUUUUAAAUUGAUUCCCAUGUGCAUUAGUCAAUGACCUAACUCCGUACUUCAUUUGGAGCAAAACUAUUUAAUUAAUCCCCAUUUUUCACGCACGCGAAGCAUUUUAGUCAACUAUUUAUUUGUAUUUGCAUGCCACAAUGGAAUUACUUGAAGUGUACAAGUUAAAAUAACCAUUAAAAAAUAAGCUCAAACAUUAAUUCCUUUAUAAUCCACUUAAUUAUAAAAAACAAUGCGUAGAGAUAAGUACUAGGUAGAAACAUAUAGAACUUAACUGAACUAUAGAUCAUUUUGAGUCAACUAUUUGAUUUUUUAAAAUUUUAAUUUUAUUUAUUAAAUAUUUCUGGUCGUUUGAUUUGAAUUGAAAGUACUAGGUAAAAAUGGACAGAAUUUAAUUAAGCUAUGGAUCAUUUUGAGUCGACUAUUCAAUUUCUUAAAAUUUUGAUUUCAUUUACUAAAUCUUUCAAUUUGUCUAAUUUGAAUUGAAAGUACUAGGUAAAUACGUACAGAAUUCAACUAUGGAUCAUUUCGAGUCUACUAUCCAAUUUUUUAAAGUUUCGAUUUUACUACUAAAUCUUUCAAUUCAUUUGAUUUGUUAAUUUCAAAUUUUAAAAUCAUUAAUUACUUUAAUAAAUUUAUAGCAGCCCGAAUUAUAUAAAAAUAUACUAGUUAAAUAUGUAAAAAUAAAGGAUAAACUUCAAAUAACCCCCAUGUGGUUUCACAUUUCUCACUUCCUCACUUUAGUACCCUGUGGUUUAAAGUGUAUUAAGUUUGCCAUUGUGAUUUCACACUUUCUCACUUUAGUACCCUGUGGUUUAAAGUGUAUCAAGUUAGUACCCUAUGGUGUUGCAUUUUUCUCUUUUUAUUAUCCAUUUCCCUAUUUUUUUUCGUUAAAUCAGUGACAAAGUUAAAAUUAAAGGAUACUAAAGUGAAUAUUCAAUAAGCCUAGGUAGGAUAUCUGAAGUUUUUUUUGUAUAUGAUUUAACGAAAUAUUAACGAAGGAAAAAAAUCAGUGACAAAGUUAAACUAAAAGUUAUUAAAGUAAAUAUUCGAUAAAUCUAGGUAAGAUAUCUGAAGUUUUUUAUAUAUAAUUUAACGAAAUAUUAACAAAGAAGCUGACGAAAAGAAAAAAAUAAAAUCACGGAGUACUAAGCUGUACUCAACAGGGACUAGGCCUAUAGGCCGCAACUGUAAACCUCUCUUGUUUCUCUAAACACAAAUAGGGUAUAUUCUUGUUUACUCAAAAAAAAGAAAUCACGGGGUACUAAAUUGAUGCACUUUAAACCACAUGAUACUAAAUUGAGAAAGUGCGAAAUCAUAGGGUACUAAAUUGAUACACUUUAAACUAUAGGAUACUAAAGUGAAAAAGUGCGAAAAUACAGGGGUGGUAUUUGAAGUUUUUCCAAAAAUAAAUGACGUGAUCAAAUAAUUAAAAAUUUUGAUAGUACAAUUAUUAAAAUCUUGAAAAAUUAGGCAGCUGAAUCAAAAUAAUUCAUAGCUCACAUAAGCAUUGCACAUUGUGGCCUAAUUUCUACUGUUCAAAUUGUACUCCAAUAUUCUCUGCGUCUUUACUCGAGAGGUACAGUGUAAUCUUUCAAUUGGUUUGAUUUGAAUUGGAAGUACGAGAUAAAAACGUACAAAAUUCAACUAUGGAUCAUUUCAAGUUCACUAUCCAAUUUUUUAAAGUUUUGAUUUUACUACUAAAUCUUUUAAUUCAUUUGAUUUGUGCCCGUCAACAGUAUGCUAACUUUAAAAUUUAUAGCAACACGAAUUAUAUAAAAAUACACUAGCUAAAUAUGUAAAACUAAUAAAUGACGUAAUCAAAUAAAUGAAAAUUUUGAUAGUAUAAUUAAAAUUUUGAAAGAAUAGGCAGUCGAAUCAAAAUAAUUCAUAACCCAUAUCAGUAUUGUACAUUGUGGCCUAAUUUCUACUCGAGAGUUGCCGUGUAAUCUUUUAAUUGGUUUGAUUUGAAUUGGAAGUGCUAGGUAAAAAUGUACAGAAUUCGACUAUGGAUCAUUUCAAGUUUACCAUCCAAUUUUUUAAAGUUUUUAUUUUACUACUAAAUCUUUCAAUUCAUUUGAUUCUUGUCAGUCGACGGUAUGCCGACUUUAAAAUUUAUAGCAACACGAAUUAUAUAAAAAUAUACUAGUUAAAUAUAUAAAACAAAUAAAUAACGUAAUUAAAUAAUUAAAAAUUUUGAUCGUAUUAACUAAAAUUUUGAAAGAUUAGGCAGCUGAAUCAAAAUAAUUCAUAGUUCAGAUAAGUGUUGCACAAUGUGGCCUAAUUUUUAUUGAUAAGUGUUGCACAAAUUGUACUCUAAUAUUCUCUGCGUCUUUACUCAAGAGGUGCCGUGGACCGCACGGCACCUUAACCGUUAAAUAUGUACAUAAACUUUCCCAAAUUUUUUUCAUCUAAGCUUUCGAUCACUAUUAUUACUAAUAUUAUCUUUCCCUAGCUAUUCUCUCUAAACAAUGGAGCUAUUUAAUUCCCCUGUAAUUCUAUUACUGCUGAUCAUCAUCUCCUCCCAUCUUAUUCUGCUUCAACACAGUACUGUCACAGCUCUUGAUCAUUCCUUGCAACCCAAAGAGGAGCACAAACAACUCAAAGGUUUUUAGAUCAAUUAAUAUCUCUCUCUCUCUCUCUCUCUCUCUCUCUCUCUCUCUCUCUCUCUCUAUUUUAUCUUGGUUUUUUGUUUUCUUAUCUCUCUCUAUAUUUCUUGUUGUUAAUUUGCUAUGUUAUUAGUAUUGAGUUACUGAUUAAUUUGUUGCGCUUUCUUAGCUAAGUUUUCUUCUUUUUAAAAGCAGAAUUAGAAGCUCUAAUUUAAAAUUUUUGUUUCUUAUCAUUACAGAAGCACCAAACUGUUUGACAAAAGUUCUGCAACAAGAGAAUUUCAAACUAAAACUUUUGUAUUUGAAUAGCAGUGAGAAUUUUAGGCACAAACUUGAUAAGAUUAUCAAAGGGUGAAAUCGAUACAACAUAAAUUUGUUUAACUAGAAAAUCACAAAACUUGACACGACACGACACGACAAAAAAAUAAGUCAAAUCGGCACAAGUAACACGAUUAUCAAACACGAGUACGAUUUGCGACUCUGAAUUGAUUUUUUCGAAUAUUCAUAAACUUAUUUUAGCUUUCUGUCACAAUAGAAAGUUUGGAUUUUUUUUUUUUUUUUUGGUUAAAAUCCUCUAGUAAUGAUUGUUGCAGCUUUCUGUUGCAGUAGAAACUCUGUACUUUUCUGCGCGUCAAAUGCUUUACUAAAAACUGAGGUAGUGAGAUUUGGUUGUGCAGGUGAAGAUUUCAGUCCUUACCCUUUUCACCGCCGUCGCCGCCCCCGACCGCGGGGCGAGAUAUUCCACCCGCCGACCGGCCAGUGCGUGCUCCGGUCCUUAUAUAUUGUAUAUUUUAUAUUAAAAAUAGAUAUUUUGUUACGUUUUAAUCAAUAUUCGAUAGGUAAAGAUUUCUUAUAUUUAUUAUAAUAAUAAAAUAUUAUAAACUAAAGAGAGGCGGCGCUUCGUACGCGUAUGUGUAUGUUCAUACUGCAUGUACUCAUUGUGAGGACUGUGUGCCUGUGAAAAUAAUGAAAGCUUGUAUAUAUUUAAGUGUAAUGUAAUAAUAACCGCUAUGUGGCUUGACAUUCUUUUAAACUAGCCCUGCCAGGGUUGUACUACUCGGGCGAGGUAGUCGGCAGGUACGUUGAAACUCUAAGCAUGAUAGAUACAUUACGUGCUAACUACUUUGUCAGAGUACAACCUAUGACAGGGGGUGGUUUAAAAAUAAGGCGAUAUAACAAAAGGGCGAAUUGAAGGGCGUCAUCUUCGCUGAUGCAACAUGACAAACUAGUUGUAUUUGGUGACUCGUGGUCGGACUCCUAAGGGUCGAUGAGACGUGCCUAAUCUCUGCUAGUGUAAGAAGCUUAGCUGUAGGUUCGUUUGGUGCCAGGGCAGCGACUACUGGCAGCUCUCCACACAAGAGGCCUUGCCGCAGCCGUUGUGGCUGGUGACGCUCAGGCUGCCCAGCGUAUACUACGAGUCGACGUGCCCGACCGGGCGCGGCUGCCGGACGUCCGUCAUCAUGCAGGGGACGUGGCAGUCCUUAAAGACGCCGCACAUCAUGGUGCUCAGCCUGACGCUCGUGCCCGGCUCAAAGUCGACCAACCGCUCUAAGCUANNNNNNNNNUAACAAAAAAAAAAAAAAAAAAAAACAAAUUCAAAUAGCAAUUUUUUUUUUUAAUUUUGUUCUCACUUAUUACUCUAUUC